rnacentral:rRNA from 1 species
ACGCUGCGGCGUGCCUAAUACAUGCAAGUCGAACGGAGAUAUUCGCUGAUGAAGUACUUCGGUAAUGAAUCUUGGAUAUCUUAGUGGCGGACGGGUGAGUAACGCGUGAGCAACCUGCCUUUCAGAGGGGGAUAACGUUUGGAAACGAACGCUAAUACCGCAUGACAUUAUCUUAUCGCAUGGUAGGAUAAUCAAAGGAGCAAUCCGCUGAAAGAUGGGCUCGCGUCCGAUUAGGUAGUUGGUGGGGUAACGGCCCACCAAGCCGACGAUCGGUAGCCGGACUGAGAGGUUGGACGGCCACAUUGGGACUGAGACACGGCCCAGACUCCUACGGGAGGCAGCAGUAAGGGAUAUUGGUCAAUGGGGGAAACCCUGAACCAGCAACGCCGUGUGAGGGAAGACGGUUUUCGGAUUGUAAACCUCUGUCCUCUGUGAAGAUGAUGACGGUAGCAGAGGAGGAAGCUCCGGCUAACUACGUG